AAUGUCGACAAUGGAUGCCUAGGUAGUUUUGGCCGAGGAAGGACGUUUGCUUAUCAACGAUAUCAUCGGGAAGGCGUUAAGCAGCCUGUGAUCCGGUGGUUUCCGAAUGGGGAAACCCGCCCCUUUAUGGGGAAUUAUGAAGUAAAGGCUUCGAUUUAUCGAAGAGAUAGUUUCAUAAAGGGCACCAGGUGAACUGAAACAUCUAAGUAACCUGUGGAAAAGAAAUCAUAUGAGAUACCGUCAGUAGCGGCGAGCGAACGCGGUAGAGUCUAAACCCCGAUCGCAAGAUUGGGGGGUUGUAGGGCAGUCAAUAUAGGAAAGAUGCGGAUAAGAGAAUAUUUUGGAAUAAGUAACCAAAGGGAGUGAAAGUCUCGUAUCUGAAAUCCAAAUCUUCUUUAGAUUGUUCCUAAGUACCAUGGAGCACGGCAUAACUCCAUGGGAAUCCGGGGCGACCACGCUCCAAGACUAAAUACCAAAACUGACCGAUAGUGAACUAGUACCGCGAGGGAAAGGUUAAAAGCACCCCGGUAAGGGGAGUGAAAUAGUACCUGAAAUUGUCGACUAACAAACAGACAAAGCUUACGAUUUAUCGUGAGUGAUGUCGUGCCUAUUGAAGAAUGAACCGAUGAGUAUCCCGACGAGCGCUUACGUCUAACCUAUUUUGUAGGGAAGGCAAAGUGAAAGCAAGCUCUAAGUGAGCGUCCCGACGUAAGUCGGGGAUGCGCUUGCGGGAUGGCCCGAAACCGGUGUGAGCUAAGCAUGAACAGGGUGAGUCCCGAUGAAAAUCGGGAGGAGGCCCGAACUCGUUGUUGCUGCAAAAACAUGAGAUGAUUUGUGCUUAGAGGUAAUAUGCCAAUCGAACCCGGAGAUAGCUGGUUCUCCCCGAAAUAUAUUUAGGUAUAGCGUCUAUAUUUAGUCCUAGGGGUAGAGCACUGAAUGGUCCACCAAGCGUAAGCGAGGCGGAUCAAUCAAACUCCGAAUACUAGGAUAUCGUAUAGGCAGUCAGUCCUACUCGGCUAAGCGAGCAAGGUCGAGCAGGGGAACAACCCAUACUCCCAAUUAAGGUCCCUAAAUUUUGACUAAGUUGUAAAUGAAGUUGAAUCGCUUAAACACCCAGGAGGUUGGCUCAGAAGCAGCCACCCUUUAAAGAGUGCGUAACAGCUCACUGGACGAGUGGUUCAGCGCAAAAAAUGAACGGGGAUAAGUCAAAUACCGAAGUUGGAGAUUUUCCCGAUUUAAUCGGGAGAGUGGUAGGGGAGCGUUCUUAUUGCAGUGAAGCAUAUGCUGUAAAGCAGUGUGGAGUGAUAAGAAGUGCGAAUGUCGGUAUGAGUAGCGAGAGUCCGGUGAGAAACCGGACCGCCGAAAGCCCAAGGUUUCCGUCCCAACGUUUGUCGGGGACGGGUUAGUCGGAUCUAAGGUGAGUCCACGCUAAGCGUGGGGUAACUCGAUGUAUAAGCCGUUGAUAUUCGGCUACAAAAUUGAGUGUAAGCAGGGGAUGACAAAAUGGGAGAUUUCAUACGGGGGUGUGAUACACCGUCUAAGCCAUAAGGUAGUGAUAGUUGGUAAAUCCAUUAUCAUGAUUAACUAAGUGGCGAUGGCAAGUCCAAGGCCGCAAGGCUGCGGGCAAGAUGAAAAAUCUUCAAUUUUUAGAAAAAGUCUCAUGUAGUCUGCCGUAAGGCAGACAAGCUUAAUUUUUCCGUACCGCAAACCGACACAGGUGGGCUGGUAGAGAAUACCAAGGCGACCGGGAGAAAACGCGUUCAAGGAACUCGGCAAAACAGCUAGGCGUAACCUUUGGGAGAUGCCUUGCCAGAUACCAUGCGGUAUCUGGUUACAACAAAAGAUGCUAACCAACUGUUUAACUAAAACACAGGCCUCUGCAAAGCCGAAAGGCAACGUAUAGGGGCUGACGCCUGCCCAGUGCACGAAGGUCAAGAGACAUGGGUGAACUCGCAAGAGGGAGCUUGAGUCUCAAGCCCGUGUGAACGGCAGCAGUAACUAUGAAUCAACAGUUUGUAGUUCUAAAAGUUGGCUAAAUGCUGGAACAUCCGUACCGUAAUCCGCCAGAAGGCGGACGAACGGUUGAAGUAUCUGACGCUACCAUGUAUCAUGGUGAUAAUGCGAUCAGCGCGGAAAAUCAGCAGGAAAGACUUGCUUAGGGAAAAUUUUGGAUAUUAUCUGGCGGGAUUUAUUGAAGGAGAAGGAAGUUUCAAUAUUUCUUUACGAAAGAAAUCUGAUUAUAAAGUCAGGUGGCAAGUAGUAAUGAGCUUUAAUGUUUCCCAGAAAGAUCCGACAUUAUUAUAUAUGUUGAAGGAUCGAUUAGAAUGUGGAAUCAUUAAAGUCAGAAAAAGAGACGGUCUUUAUUCAUUUGAUGUAACAAAUCCAACCGAUAUAAUCCAAAAAGUUAUUCCAUUUUUUCAAAAAUAUCCAGUAUAUUCUCUCUCCAAGAAGAAAAAUUUUGUAAUUUUUUGUAAGAUUGCGAAGUUAAUGGAGAGGGGACAACAUAGAAAUCAAGCUGGACUUCGAAAAAUCCUAGAACUUCGAGAGCAUAUCAAUGAAGGGAUAGGAAGGACGAGAAAAUAUGGAAUUAAUGAUGUGUUUCCUAAGUAAGAAUCCUCAGAGACUAUAUGCCAACUCCGUCAAUUGACGGAAUGAUAUAGUCCGACCUCAUAAGCGAUUAUGAGAGACGUAAUCAAUCGUCUGAAUAACAAUGUGAACUGUUCUAUGGUAGACCCGAAAAGGGUCCGCUGCCAUAGUGAGGUGUGAACCCUCCGUCAUG
rnacentral:rRNA from 1 species